GAGGAGAGCGAGAGAGAGAGAGGAUAAGGGAGGGAGAGGAGUGAUGGGGAGUGGAAGAAGAGAGAGGGAGAGAGCGAGAUAAGAGAAACAGAAAGAGAGGGGUCGGCGACUGCCUUCACAAACGUGCCACUUCCGCACUGCUGACAAUUAGAGUAAUUGCCAUGGCAACGGUUGCCAGGGUGUCGCCAGGGCAUCUCCAGCCCGUCUCUCCAGCAGUAGCUACUGUGUUUACUGCUUAGACCUGGUGGUAAAAGUGAGAUUUCUAAAUGUGGUGUAGCUACAGACUGUAAUGUAUCUAGACUGGUCCCAGAUCUGUGGUGAGGUUUCUAAAUGUGGUGUAGUUACAGACUGUAAUGUAUCUAGAGACUGGUCCCAGAUCUGUGGUGAGGUUUCUAAAUGUGGUGUAGCUACAGACUGUAAUGUAUCUAGAGACUGGUCCCAGAUCUGUGGUGUGGUUUCUAAAUGUGGUGUAGCUACAGACUGUAAUGUAUCUAGAGACUGGUCCCAGAUCUGUGGUGAGGUUUCUAAAUGUGGUGUAGCUACAGACUGUAAUGUAUCUAGACUGGUCCCAGAUCUGUGGUGAGGUUUCUAAAUGUGGUGUAGCUACAGACUGUAAUGUAUCUAGAGACUGGUCCCAGAUCUGUGGUGAGGUUUAUAAAUGUGGUGUAGCUACAGACUGUAAUGUACCUAGAGACUGGUCCCAGAUCUGUGGUGAGGUUUCUAAAUGUGGUGUAGCUAUAGACUGUAAUGUAUCUAGAGACUGGUCCCAGAUCUGUGGUGAGGUUUCUAAAUGUGGUGUAGCUACAGACUGUAAUGUAUCUAGACUGGUCCCAGAUCUGUGGUGAGGUUUCUAAAUGUGGUGUAGCUACAGACUGUAAUGUAUCUAGAGACUGGUCCCAGAUCUGUGGUGUGGUUUCUAAAUGUGGUGUAGCUACAGACUGUAAUGUAUCUAGAGACUGGUCCCAGAUCUGUGGUGAGGUUUCUAAAUGUGGUGUAGCUACAGACUGUAAUGUAUCUAGACUGGUCCCAGAUCUGUGGUGUGGUUUCUAAAUGUGGUGUAGCUACAGACUGUAAUGUAUCUAGAGACUGGUCCCAGAUCUGUGGUGAGGUUUCUAAAUGUGGUGUAGCUACAGACUGUAAUUUAUCUAGACUGGUCCCAGAUCUGUGGUGAGGUUUCUAAAUGUGGUGUAGUUACAGACUGUAAUGUAUCUAGAGACUGGUCCCAGAUCUGUGGUGAGGUUUCUAAAUGUGGUGUAGCUACAGACUGUAAUGUAUCUAGAGACUGGUCCCAGAUCUGUGGUGUGGUUUCUAAAUGUGGUGUAGCUACAGACUGUAAUGUAUCUAGAGACUGGUCCCAGAUCUGUGGUGAGGUUUCUAAAUGUGGUGUAGCUACAGACUGUAAUGUAUCUAGAGACUGGUCCCAGAUCUGUGGUGAGGUUUCUAAAUGUGGUGUAGCUACAGACUGUAAUGUAUCUAGAGACUGGUCCCAG